GAUGAACGCUGGCGGCGUGCCUAAUACAUGCAAGUAGAACGCUGAAGGAAGGAGCUUGCUCUUUCCGGAUGAGUUGCGAACGGGUGAGUAACGCGUAGGUAACCUGCCUGGUAGCGGGGGAUAACUAUUGGAAACGAUAGCUAAUACCGCAUAACAGUAGAUGUUGCAUGAUAUCUACUUAAAAGGUGCAAUUGCACCACUACCAGAUGAACCUGCGUUGUAUUAGCUAGUUGGUGAGGUAACGGCUCACCAAGGCGACGAUACAUAGCCGACCUGAGAGGGUGAUCGGCCACACUGGGACUGAGACACGACCCAGACUCCUACGGGAGGCAGCAGUAGGGAAUCUUCGGCAAUGGACGGAAGUCUGACCGAGCAACGCCGCGUGAGUGAAGAAGGUUUUCGGAUCGUAAAGCUCUGUUGUAAGAGAAGAACGAGUGUGAGAGUGGAAAGUUCGCACUGUGACGGUAUCUUACCAGAAAGGGACGGCUAACUACGUG
rnacentral:rRNA from 1 species